UGUUACAUAGUCUAGGCUGUGAGAGGGAAAUCUUUUCCAUGAAUUUGGAGGAAGACCAGUGGAAGAUGCGGUAGGAGAGACUUGUGCCAGAGCUAGAAUGUGGCGCCAGCCAUGUCUGUGUAAAGUACAGAAACAAAGGAAGCCAGGAAACUGGGUGCUGACAAAGCCUUGAAACCAAGCCUUGAAGCUGAUUGGGUUCUGUUUUUCUGGAGCACCCUGACUAAUAUGCUCAUAGAUUACGUGCAGCUCGUCUCGCCUGAGUGUGUUCCUUUAUUUAAGAAUUUCAUCCCAUUUUCUCUCAGGGACUAUAGAUGGUGCAAUUUCUGAAGCAUUAUGUGCCUAAAGGUGUAUUUGUUAAGUCCUUAGAACUGAUGGGUAUUUCUACAUACUAAGUUCUCCAAUAACCAGAAUCUCAACUCAUGUAGUCUUGUAGUCUGUUUGACUUUUGAAUAAUU